rnacentral:lncRNA from 1 species
AAAAAAAAUGAAUAUUGUUAUUAACAUGGAUAACACUGUAACGUCAACUUGUAUAUUAUAGAAAUGCCUUAUUUUAUAUAUAUAGUAAAUUCUCUAAUAAAACAUUUGGUGUGUCGAAAACAUGUUUUAUUCUAAUAUCUUUUUCAUUGUUAUAAUAUUACAUUUUCCAGAUACUUAAGAUCCGGUACAAAUAAUAUGUAAGUAGAAAAAGACUAUUCAGUAAGUACCAAUUAAAAAGUAAAAAUUAUCAUUAACAUUGAUAACUCAUUAUCACUCAUUGAAGAAUUGUAUAAUUGUGACAUUUUGUAAUUUAAAUUUAAAAAAAAUCAAAAUUAGAAAAAUUAUAAAAUAUUCAACGUAAUUAUGUAAUAUUUUAAUUCAAAUGAUACAUGUCCCUAAUUUGCUACAACAAUGACAUGACACAUAAACAUGAUUUUACGCAGAAUGAAUUUGAAAACAGUAUUCAAACAAAACAUAUGAAUAACAAAUGAUAACGUAAUAACAUCACAACUGCCAUCUAGCGGCUAAUUUUAUAUUCUCACUUAAGUUGUAUUAUUACUAUGUAGUAUAAAGAAAAAUACCAAUAUUUUUAUUAUUUGCAAACAAAUAAAAAAUGACAACUUUAUGUAAUGUCGUUGUUUUAGCAUACCAGCAAUGUAUAGUUUUUUAGAAUUUAUUUAAAAUUAAAUUGAGAUUAUUAUAAAGAUGUCUAAAGUAUAUUUUUGGAAUGAAAGUAUAUCAUCCUUAGUAAUGUAUUAAUUACGAUGUUUUCAAAUAUCAAUUUGUCAGGAUAAGAAUAACUUACAAAUUAAAUAGGCAUUGUUUACAGUCAUAAACAAAGUUUAGACAAAUACAAUUGAUUAAAAAAAUUUAUAUAUAUAUUUUUACAUAAAAUAUUUGUAGUUUUUUAAGUACAUGUAGAAAAUGUCUAUUUUUUAAAUUUCACAUGAUUAUUGGUAGUUAAGAGGAUGUUAUACCUGCAUGUACUGUCUUAGUCCAACUACCGGGUAACAUGCAAAAAUAAUGCUUACACAAAAUAAGUAAAACUAGCUUAAUUUUGAUUUUAGAGUAAAUGUAACUAUUAUGAAAAUUAUAGAGACUAAUACUUUGGGGGGAAUGUUAUAGGGUAUUUGUAUUUAAAAUUUAUAGCUCAAUAUAUAAUAUACAAAAAACCUUAUUUUUUAAUAGUUUAUAAUUCAAAAAAACACUUAUGACGUUUCUUCCAAAAUAUUGUUCUAUAUAAAUUUUAUAAGUACUUUUACUCUAAAAUCAAAAUUAAGCUAGUUUUACUUAUUCUGCGUAAGUAUUGCUUUUGUAUGUUACCCAGUAGUUGGACUGUGACAGUAGAUGUGGGUAUAACGUCCUCUUAAGUGUUAGGUUUAGUAAAAAUUAUACAUUUUGAUAUUUUUUAAUUUGUAAUCUCCACUCAACAGGUUAAAUUCAUUGGAAACUUAUAGAUCCACUGCAAGUAUUUUAAUAAUUUAUAAUAAAAUAUUAAUUUAAAUUGGGCCCAUCCGAUUUAUUUAUGUAUUACUAAUGAAGUUCUUAAUCUGACACUACCCAUUGCUAUGGUACAAAAAUGUCAUCAAUAUGGCAUAUAUAUAAUUUAUAUAUUAUUUUAUACAUAUUUAAAGUUUACUUGGGGAGUAUGGACAAUCAAAAUAAAUUAGUGAAAAAUAAUAUAGCUGUACAAAUGUAGAUAAAAUGCUAUAUGAUCUUCAUCCAAAUAUGAACUUCAAAAAAUUAUAUAUAAUAUAUAAUAUGUAUAUAAAAUAAAGUGUCAUUAACAACAUUUAUGUGCUAUUUUAUUUUUAGUAGUGAGUUAUAAAUUUUGGUAUAGAAUUUUCAAGGAUUUUUUUAUGUAGAAAGUCUACUUAAUUUGAGACAAAUUUAUCAAAUUGAUGUCAGUCUGUAAGCCUAUUAAUUACUAAAAUAAGCUAUUAUUUUUAUAAAAUCUAUUUUGUCUUGAACCGAUUUUUCGUAAAUUUGUCUAUUUUUUCUGUGGACUACCAGUUAUAAUAAGAAAAAUGCUUAUGAUUACAAAAAAAUGCAUCAACUUAGAGUCUAGUUACAAGACAAUAUUUUUUACCAGAAAUCAUCCCAGAUUUUAAUGAUUGGUGCUGAAUUUGUGUACACAGAAAAAUGAAAAACAUAUUACCAAAUAUGAUCCAAACAAGGAUCAAUUAGUUAAUAAGAAGUUACUUCACUGUAGUCAUCUCUGCAGAUUAUGAUCGUGUUAUUUUUUUAAAACUUAAUUUGUAUUAAACUUAAGUAUAAUUUAAUUAUGAGUACCUACAAAAAUCAAAAUAAUCACAAUUUAUUAAGUGAAAU